rnacentral:misc_RNA from 1 species
UGCUGCAGUUCCAAGGCUUUCUCCCCUCUGGUGGGCUGAACUCGAGCUCUUAUCUUCUGAGGCAGCUUAGCCUGAUUUGUUUGUCUGCUUUGUAAGUUGAGUAUUGCUUUGCUAUGUAUAAAUACACCAUACAUGAUAUAUAAAACUGGUUUCUCCUCAGACUCAACCCCUUACAUACCUAAUGUUUUUCUGUUAUCCCACUA